rnacentral:rRNA from 1 species
GGGACACGUGGUAUCCUGUCUGAAUAUGGGGGGACCAUCCUCCAAGGCUAAAUACUCCUGACUGACCGAUAGUGAACCAGUACCGUGAGGGAAAGGCGAAAAGAACCCCGGCGAGGGGAGUGAAAAAGAACCUGAAACCGUGUACGUACAAGCAGUGGGAGCCUCUUAAUGGGGUGACUGCGUACCUUUUGUAUAAUGGGUCAGCGACUUAUAUUCUGUAGCAAGGUUAACCGAAUAGGGGAGCCGAAGGGAAACCGAGUCUUAACUGGGCGUUAAGUUGCAGGGUAUAGACCCGAAACCCGGUGAUCUAGCCAUGGGCAGGUUGAAGGUUGGGUAACACUAACUGGAGGACCGAACCGACUAAUGUUGAAAAAUUAGCGGAUGACUUGUGGCUGGGGGUGAAAGGCCAAUCAAACCGGGAGAUAGCUGGUUCUCCCCGAAAGCUAUUUAGGUAGCGCCUCGUGAAUUCAUCUCCGGGGGUAGAGCACUGUUUCGGCAAGGGGGUCAUCCCGACUUACCAACCCGAUGCAAACUGCGAAUACCGGAGAAUGUUAUCACGGGAGACACACGGCGGGUGCUAACGUCCGUCGUGAAGAGGGAAACAACCCAGACCGCCAGCUAAGGUCCCAAAGUCAUGGUUAAGUGGGAAACGAUGUGGGAAGGCCCAGACAGCCAGGAUGUUGGCUUAGAAGCAGCCAUCAUUUAAAGAAAGCGUAAUAGCUCACUGGUCGAGUCGGCCUGCGCGGAAGAUGUAACGGGGCUAAACCAUGCACCGAAGCUGCGGCAGCGACACUAUGUGUUGUUGGGUAGGGGAGCGUUCUGUAAGCCUGUGAAGGUGUACUGUGAGGUAUGCUGGAGGUAUCAGAAGUGCGAAUGCUGACAUAAGUAACGAUAAAGCGGGUGAAAAGCCCGCUCGCCGGAAGACCAAGGGUUCCUGUCCAACGUUAAUCGGGGCAGGGUGAGUCGACCCCUAAGGCGAGGCCGAAAGGCGUAG